rnacentral:rRNA from 1 species
UAUGGCGGUGAUAUACCUUUAGAAUGUCCAGUGUCAUCUGAUCUCAGAGGUUAAGUAGGGCUGGGGCUGGUUAAUAUUUGGAUGGGAGACCGCCACAUUGGGGCAUCAGUAACUGCAUAC